UCCCUUGGUCGAUUUCAAGUUUUCCUUUGACUUUCCAAAGUGUUAUGAGCUUUAUCCUUGGUUUUGAAGAGUUUUAAGCUUGGAUCAAGGAUUUGGAGCUUGGAGACCCCAGAGCUAGUUUCCUCCACAUCUCCAAGGUUCGGAUCACACCAACCCUCGAUCUCCAAGAGGUUAGUGUAGAUCUCUGCUUUUCCUUAUGUUUUAAUGAGUUUUAAGUAAGUUUUAAGGAGAUUUGAUGUAUGUGUUUGGGUAGAUAUGCA
rnacentral:lncRNA from 1 species